UACGAAGGGGGCUAGCGUUGCUCGGAAUUACUGGGCGUAAAGCGCGCGUAGGCGGCUUUGCAAGUCGGGUGUGAAAUCCCCAGGCUUAACCUGGGAACUGCAUUCGAGACUGCAUUGCUAGAGUAUGGGAGAGGGAAGUGGAAUUUCAGGUGUAGCGGUGAAAUGCGUAGAUAUCUGAAGGAACAUCAGUGGCGAAAGCGACUUCCUGGACCAAUACUGACGCUCAUGUGCGAAAGCGUGGGGAGCAAACAGG
rnacentral:rRNA from 1 species